AGAGUUUGAUCAUGGCUCAGGAUGAACGCUAGCGGGAGGCUUAAUACAUGCAAGUCGAGCGAGAAAUUAGGUGCUUGCACUUAAUGGACAGCGGCGCACGGGUGAGUAACGCGUACACAAUCUACCUUUCAGAGUGGAAUAGCCCCGGGAAACUGGGAUUAAUACCGCAUAGUCUUAUGAAGUGGCAUCACUUUAUAAGUAAAGCUCCGGUGCUGAAAGAUGAGUGUGCGUACUAUUAGCUAGUUGGUAAGGUAACGGCUUACCAAGGCUACGAUAGUUAGGGGGCGUGAGAGCGUGACCCCCCACACGGGUACUGAGACACGGACCCGACUCCUACGGGAGGCAGCAGUAAGGAAUAUUGGACAAUGGGCGCAAGCCUGAUCCAGCCAUCCCGCGUGCAGGAUGACGGCCCUCUGGGUUGUAAACUGCUUUUAUUAGAGAAGAAACCCCCGAACUUGUUUCGGGGCUGACGGUAUCUUUUGAAUAAGCACCGGCUAACUCCGUGCCAGCAGCCGCGGUAAUACGGAGGGUGCAAGCGUUAUCCGGAAUCACUGGGUUUAAAGGGUACGUAGGCGGCUAAAUAAGUCAGAGGUGAAAGCCCGGCGCUCAACGUCGGAAUUGCCUUUGAUACUGUUUAACUUGAAUUAGGUUGAGGUGGGCGGAAUGUGGCAUGUAGCGGUG
rnacentral:rRNA from 1 species